rnacentral:rRNA from 1 species
AUUGAACGCUGGCGGCAGGCCUAACACAUGCAAGUCGAACGAGUGGCGGACGGGUGAGUAAUGUCUGGGAAACUGCCUGAUGGAGGGGGAUAACUACUGGAAACGGUAGCUAAUACCGCAUACCAUCGGAUGUGCCCAGAUGGGAUUAGCUAGUAGGUGGGGUAAGGGCUCACCUAGGCGACGAUCCCUAGCUGGUCUGAGAGGAUGACCAGCCAAACUGGAACUGGGAAACGGCCCAGACUCCUAGGGGAGGAAGAAGGGGGAAAUAUUGCAAAAUGGGCGAAAUCCUGAUGCAGCCAGGCCGGGUGUAGGAAGAAGGCCUUCGGGUUGUAAGGUACUUUCAUCGGGGAGACGUUACCCGCAGAAGAGGCACCGGCUACCUCCGUGCCAGCGGCCGCGGUAAUC